rnacentral:lncRNA from 1 species
GGGCUAUGGAAGCCAUUCACCUUGAUUUCAGGAAGAAGAGGGCAAGUACUGUGAGGAAAGCUCAGGCAAGGUCUGAAGUCAGGCCCUGGUAAGUGCAGGAUCAUUGCUCACAGAGGGAGGAGCAGGCAGCUGAAUAGCCUAAACUGGGCUGGGUGUGUGGACCACCUGGGGAUCUCCAUUCCCACACACAGCAUCCUCUCCCACUGAGGCCAGACAUGGCAGUCCAUUAAGGGAACAGAUUCCAAAGAUAGGCAGCAGCUUUAUGGCCAGCCAGUGCUACAGUUAUUGGAGGACCCUCAUGAAGACUGAGCUGCACAUCUGCUACCUACAUGUCAGGGGCCUUAGUCCAGUGUAUCCUAUUUGGAUUGUCAGAAGAUGACCUCAGAACUCCUGAUCUUCAUGUAAUGGGUUGUUGUUGAUCCCAAUGCAUAUGCUAGAAAUUGACAACCAUUAUGAGGAAGACCAGCAAGGGUGUUCCACUGUUGAGCUAUUUCUCCUGCCCUAUGUUGCUUAUUUAUGAUCAAUAUUUGUAUUACUCCUAUUUUCACCUGUCCAUUUGUAACUGUUUAAACAUGCAUUCCCUUUUAGUAAAAUGUUAUUAAUGUUGUAGUUUAAACUGGUAUACUUCAUGUUUCUGGAAGAUGAAUACAGGAUUGCAGUGAAUUUAUAAUUGUUUGUAUUAGCUUCAGUAAAGAAUUGUGAGUU